rnacentral:rRNA from 1 species
UUUGAGAUCUUAUAGACAAAUAGUUUGCGACCUCGAUGUUGGAUUAGGAUACUUUUUUAAUGAAGAUGUUAAAAAAAGAAGUUUGUUCAACUUUUAAAUUCCUACUUGAUCUGAGUUCAGACAU